UACAGAGGGGGCAAGCGUUGUUCGGAAUUACUGGGCGUAAAGGGCGCGUAGGCGGCCUUCUAAGUCGAACGUGAAAUCCCUGGGCUCAACCCAGGAACUGCGUCCGAUACUGGGAGGCUUGAAUCCGGGAGAGGGAUGCGGAAUUCCAGGUGUAGCGGUGAAAUGCGUAGAUAUCUGGAGGAACACCGGUGGCGAAGGCGGCAUCCUGGACCGGCAUUGACGCUGAGGCGCGAAAGCGUGGGGAGCGAACAGG
rnacentral:rRNA from 1 species